ACAAAAAGGGACAUAAAUUAAAUGAGAGUGAAACGUCCAGCCCAAGAAUCAAACCAAAGACCUCCUGGGAAACAAAGAAAGUCUCACCCACUGGACCAGACACGGUUAGUUGAGAUAAGUCUCCUCCUAGUAGUACAAGACAAGGGUGUGUGCUGGGAAUUCCGGGUCAGACCUCAACCGACCUGGCUGGAACACACAAAAAGACCGAAAUUCCUGGACUUUGGACACGAACCCUAGCAGCCGUUCGUUCCCUUCCAAAUUCAACGAAACCAAGAAAUACUGAUUCAUACUCAAAUCAUCUCUUCCGCCCAACGCCCAUACUCACCGGCCAUAGCUUCUCAAGAGAUCUUAAACUACCUCUACUCGUUAUCCUCUCCGCUCACAGUUUCGAUACGGAAGCAAAAAUGGCGCACGGUUCGCGGCGAAGGUUUCUCUUUCAUGGCUUCGACGAGUUCUACGGAGACGGUCUCUCCUCUUAGCCAGAUCGAAAAUGGCCUCACCCCUAACAAACGCUCAGAGAACUUAACAGUAACAAAAUUGCAAAUGGUUAGGUAAAACAAAUUGCUGUUGGAAGUGGUUUUAUAUAUAUUACCGUUGCUUACAUGUUGUUGUUAUUACGGAAUGGCGGUUCGAAAUUUUUGGUGAAAAUAGGAGAAAGCAGUGAGGUUAUCACAAGAAAGUAAAGUGGAUUUACCUACCGAGCGUGCAUGGAUACUCCUGGUUGUUAUCGGUCUCGCAAUCACUCCUUUGAUAUUUCCUCCCUUUCCUUUCUGCUGGCAAUUGUAAAUGGGGCAGGAUAAAGCUCAAAAGGAGAUGUUCAAUCCACUGCCGAAUGAAAGAUGGUCUUUCAAUUGAUGAAAUUUGCUGAUAUGGAGAGGUUGAGAUAAACUCCACAUUUUAUUCUUGAAAGUUGUAAUUGAAAUGUGAAGUAAUUGAAAUGUGAAUUUGACUUUAAAAUUGAAAUGGAACUUGUAUUUUCUU